ensembl:lncRNA
CAACUGACUAAAAUAUAGCACAUGGGAUGUGGACUUCAGAUGUGACUCCUCAUGCAGUCCUGAGAUCCAGUAUGGUCCUGAGAUAACACAGAGUCAUAUAGAUUGGUUCUAGAUUAACAAAUCCAAACAUCAGCCUGACCUACCAAGUUCCAUCACUAAACCAUGUCUCAUUAGUGCCACAUCCACAGGUCACGUCUCUUAAACGUGUACAGGAAUGGGGAUUCCAUCACUUCUUUGGGCAGUAACAUGGUGAUACAGACAUACAUGAUCUCACAACUGAACAGAAAAAUGUCAGAUUGGUGCACUUGUCCUCUACAGGAAAGUGUUGAAGAUAUGUUGUGAAAUUUCACACCCUAACUCUAAAACUGAUAUAAAGACUUCCAGGUAAAAACAUCCAGCAGUUUAUUCCUAUCUUUGAAGUCGAUGACCCAAAGUUUAAUGGGAUUGUUAUAUUCAACGAAGCUCAAAGAAUUAUACAGGAAAUGUAACACAUGAACAGAGAGCAUUAGUGCAGAAAAUCCAACUAUUCUAAAAGUAUGUAGAAACUUUCAACCAAGAAAGGAUCCACAUUAUACUGUUUGACACUAAAUUCUUGGACCAGAUCCCUAUCUGUUGGUAUCCAAUAAAAUUCCAAUUUAUAAUGAGAUAAGGCAGUUUGUUGUUCCCUUCUACAAGUCAUUAGCAGUAAACAUCAUGUAAAUUAAAAAGAAUAAGAAAUAGGAUCAACCACAGGCCAAAGCAGAGGCCUACAAAAUGCUUAAAGUCUGUGUAUAAGUGUGAAUAAAUAAAUUUGCAGCUCAAGAACUAGUGCUCACUUGCAUUUCUAGAAUAAUAACACUUUCCUGGAUAAAACUGAAUGAAUAAUCAAUUAUCUUUAAAAAGGAAUGCCUGUCUUACCUAGUAAAAGGCUACAAGCAGAACAUUGCCAAAUAAGAGUUUUCAUCCAUCUUUUUCUCUUUUGACUAUUUUAGAUUUUUUUACUGAUAGUCUUUUCAGUUCCAGUAAGAAUUUGGCCUGAAUCUCUUCAAUUUGCAAAUGAUAUUUUCUUAGAUUGAGGGGCUGCCUUUCACAUAGUAACAGUAAGUACUUUAGAGCCACAUCUUCAGAUUUUACCUGUAUUUCUUCUGGAGGCAAGGGUGGAGCACAAGUGCUGCAAAGGUAUUUGCCAUCCAUUGAAGCAGAAACUCUGAAGUCCCUUAAGCAGCCAGCUGGAUAGUAGGAGGUGGAGAAGGUGAUAAAGGCCUGUCACUCAGCUGCAGUGUUUGCAUUCCCAAGGCAAUUUCCCAAACAGCAAAGCACAAAAACUGCAGAGUUAAUAGUACCUGUGUAGGGUAAAGAAGAAUGGAUGAAGUAUUACAAUAUUUAGG